rnacentral:rRNA from 1 species
GUGGGGAAUCUUGCGCAAUGGGCGAAAGCCUGACGCAGCGACGCCGCGUGAGCGAUGAAGGCCUUCGGGUUGUAAAGCUCUGUGGGGAGGAAAGAAUAAGGGCGGGUCAAUACCCCGCUCGAUGACGGUACCUCCUUAGCAAGCACCGGCUAACUCUGUGCCAGCAGCCGCGGUAAGACAGAGGGUGCAAACGUUGUUCGGAAUUACUGGGCGUAAAGCGCGUGUAGGCGGCCGCGUAAGUCGGAUGUGAAAUACCUCGGCUCAACUGAGGAAGUGCACCCGAAACUGCGUGGCUAGAGUCCCGGAGAGGAAGGUGGAAUGCUUGGUGUAGAGGUGAAAUUCGUAGAUAUCAAGCGGAACACCGGUGGCGAAGGCGGCCUUCUGGACGGUGACUGACGCUGAGACGCGAAAGCGUGGGGAGCAAACAGGAUUAGAAACCCUUGUAGUCC